rnacentral:rRNA from 1 species
GACUACAUGAAGCUGGAAUCGCUAGUAAUCGCAGGUCAGCAUACUGCGGUGAAUACGUUCCCGGGUCUUGUACACACCGCCCGUCACACCAUGGGAGCCGGAAAUGCCCGAAGCCAGUGACCCAACCUUAGGGAGGGAGCUGUCGAAGGUGGAGCCGGUAACUGGGGUGAAGUCGUAACAAGGUAGC